rnacentral:rRNA from 1 species
GGGUUGUGAGGUUAAGCGACUAAGCGUACACGGUGGAUGCCCUGGCAGUCAGAGGCGAUGAAGGACGUGCUAAUCUGCGAUAAGCGCCGGUAAGGUGAUAUGAACCGUUAUAACCGGCGAUUUCCGAAUGGGGAAACCCAGUGUGACUCGUCACACUAUCAUUAACUGAAUCCAUAGGUUAAUGAGGCGAACCGGGGGAACUGAAACAUCUAAGUACCCCGAGGAAAAGAAAUCAACCGAGAUUCCCCCAGUAGCGGCGAGCGAACGGGGAGGAGCCCAGAGCCUGAAUCAGCAUGUGUGUUAGUGGAAGCGUCUGGAAAGGCGCGCGAUACAGGGUGACAGCCCCGUACACAAAAGCGCAUGUGCUGUGAGCUCGAUGAGUAGGGCGGGACACGUGGUAUCCUGUCUGAAUAUGGGGGGACCAUCCUCCAAGGCUAAAUACUCCUGACUGACCGAUAGUGAACCAGUACCGUGAGGGAAAGGCGAAAAGAACCCCGGCGAGGGGAGUGAAAAAGAACCUGAAACCGUGUACGUACAAGCAGUGGGAGCACAGGUUUACCUGUGUGACUGCGUACCUUUUGUAUAAUGGGUCAGCGACUUAUAUUCUGUAGCAAGGUUAACCGUAUAGGGGAGCCGCAGGGAAACCGAGUCUUAACCGGGCGUUAAGUUGCAGGGUAUAGACCCGAAACCCGGUGAUCUAGCCAUGGGCAGGUUGAAGGUUGGGUAACACUAACUGGAGGACCGAACCGACUAAUGUUGAAAAAUUAGCGGAUGACCUGUGGCUGGGGGUGAAAGGCCAAUCAAACCGGGAGAUAGCUGGUUCUCCCCGAAAGCUAUUUAGGUAGCGCCUCGUGAAUUCAUCUCCGGGGGUAGAGCACUGUUUCGGCUAGGGGGCCAUCCCGGCUUACCAACCCGAUGCAAACUGCGAAUACCGGAGAAUGUUAUCACGGGAGACACACGGCGGGUGCUAACGUCCGUCGUGAAGAGGGAAACAACCCAGACCGCCAGCUAAGGUCCCAAAGUCAUGGUUAAGUGGGAAACGAUGUGGGAAGGCCCAGACAGCCAGGAUGUUGGCUUAGAAGCAGCCAUCAUUUAAAGAAAGCGUAAUAGCUCACUGGUCGAGUCGGCCUGCGCGGAAGAUGUAACGGGGCUAAACCAUGCACCGAAGCUGCGGCAGCGACGCUGAUGCGUUGUUGGGUAGGGGAGCGUUCUGUAAGCCUGUGAAGGUGGCCUGUGAGGGUUGCUGGAGGUAUCAGAAGUGCGAAUGCUGACAUAAGUAACGAUAAAGCGGGUGAAAAGCCCGCUCGCCGGAAGACCAAGGGUUCCUGUCCAACGUUAAUCGGGGCAGGGUGAGUCGACCCCUAAGGCGAGGCCGAAAGGCGUAGUCGAUGGGAAACGGGUUAAUAUUCCCGUACUUGGUGUUACUGCGAAGGGGGGACGGAGAAGGCUAUGUUGGCCGGGCGACGGUUGUCCCGGUUUAAGCGUGUAGGUGUGUGUUCCAGGUAAAUCCGGUUCACUUUAACACUGAGGCGUGAUGACGAGGCACUACGGUGCUGAAGCAACAAAUGCCCUGCUUCCAGGAAAAGCCUCUAAGCAUCAGGUAACAUCAAAUCGUACCCCAAACCGACACAGGUGGUCAGGUAGAGAAUACCAAGGCGCUUGAGAGAACUCGGGUGAAGGAACUAGGCAAAAUGGUGCCGUAACUUCGGGAGAAGGCACGCUGACACGUAGGUGAAGUGAUUUACUCACGGAGCUGAAGUCAGUCGAAGAUACCAGCUGGCUGCAACUGUUUAUUAAAAACACAGCACUGUGCAAACACGAAAGUGGACGUAUACGGUGUGACGCCUGCCCGGUGCCGGAAGGUUAAUUGAUGGGGUCAGCGCAAGCGAAGCUCCUGAUCGAAGCCCCGGUAAACGGCGGCCGUAACUAUAACGGUCCUAAGGUAGCGAAAUUCCUUGUCGGGUAAGUUCCGACCUGCACGAAUGGCGUAAUGAUGGCCAGGCUGUCUCCACCCGAGACUCAGUGAAAUUGAACUCGCUGUGAAGAUGCAGUGUACCCGCGGCAAGACGGAAAGACCCCGUGAACCUUUACUAUAGCUUGACACUGAACAUUGAGCCUUGAUGUGUAGGAUAGGUGGGAGGCUUUGAAGUGUGGACGCCAGUCUGCAUGGAGCCGACCUUGAAAUACCACCCUUUAAUGUUUGAUGUUCUAACGUGGACCCGUAAUCCGGGUUGCGGACAGUGUCUGGUGGGUAGUUUGACUGGGGCGGUCUCCUCCUAAAGAGUAACGGAGGAGCACGAAGGUUGGCUAAUCCUGGUCGGACAUCAGGAGGUUAGUGCAAUGGCAUAAGCCAGCUUGACUGCGAGCGUGACGGCGCGAGCAGGUGCGAAAGCAGGUCAUAGUGAUCCGGUGGUUCUGAAUGGAAGGGCCAUCGCUCAACGGAUAAAAGGUACUCCGGGGAUAACAGGCUGAUACCGCCCAAGAGUUCAUAUCGACGGCGGUGUUUGGCACCUCGAUGUCGGCUCAUCACAUCCUGGGGCUGAAGUAGGUCCCAAGGGUAUGGCUGUUCGCCAUUUAAAGUGGUACGCGAGCUGGGUUUAGAACGUCGUGAGACAGUUCGGUCCCUAUCUGCCGUGGGCGCUGGAGAACUGAGGGGGGCUGCUCCUAGUACGAGAGGACCGGAGUGGACGCAUCACUGGUGUUCGGGUUGUCAUGCCAAUGGCACUGCCCGGUAGCUAAAUGCGGAAGAGAUAAGUGCUGAAAGCAUCUAAGCACGAAACUUGCCCCGA